CAGAGCCGCGGUAAUACGUAGGGUGCAAGCGUUAAUCGGAAUUACUGGGCGUAAAGCGUGCGCAGGCGGUUAUAUAAGACAGAUGUGAAAUCCCCGGGCUCAACCUGGGAACUGCAUUUGUGACUGUAUAGCUAGAGUACGGCAGAGGGGGAUGGAAUUCCGCGUGUAGCAGUGAAAUGCGUAGAUAUGCGGAGGAACACCGAUGGCGAAGGCAAUCCCCUGGGCCUGUACUGACGCUCAUGCACGAAAGCGUGGGGAGCAAACAGGAUUAGAUACCCCCGUAGUCCCUGUCUCUUAUACA
rnacentral:rRNA from 1 species